UUUUUUUUUUUUGCUAACUCAUAUUUCUUCAGUUCCCACAUUAAAUGUCAUCUCCUUAGAAAGGCAUCCCUGAUGUUCCAAACUAAGGCUCCACCAACUUUUUCUAUAAAGGGACAGAGCAUAGAUAUUUUACUUGUAAAAUGUACUUUGCCAAUCUUCUAUGGUCUCUGUCACAUCAUAUUAUUAUUCCUAAAUUUACAACCCUUUAAAAAUGUUAAAAAAAAAAUUGGUCAUAGGUUUGUAGACCACAGUUUGUUGGUUCCUGUUCCAAAUUUCAGUCGUCCCUGAUAGUCUUUUGGCAGCAUACUAUUGCUUUUCCUUUGUAUCACAUGUCUCUAUUUGAUGUUAUAUAUUUAUUUGUUUGAUAUUUGCCAAACUCCUGUGACUGUAAACUCCUGGACGAAGGGACCAUGUUGAUUUUGCUUGAGGAGAGUUCGACACUGUGUCUCUAGCACAGAGAUGUACACAUAGUAGGUACUCCAUUAAUAUUUGUUCAAUAAAUAAAACAAUCUAAAAGUAAUUCCUAUUCACUGUAAGAAAAUCUGAGGAAUACCCCCCAAAAUGUAUAAAAGGUAAAGCAAUAAUCUAUUCAUCAUACCACCACUCAGAGACAGCUGUUGUCAGCAGGCUUUAUUUUUGUAUUUGUAUUGGUACGUGUAUAACUACAUACUGUAUUUACACGAUAGAAAUCUUUCUGUCUCGAAAGCUUCAUAGUCUAGCUUUUCACUUAAUAAACAACUCAGCAAAGAAUAUUUUAUGCAUAUGUCUUUGUUGGUGUUUCUAGUUAUUUGCUCAGAAUAGAUUCCAAGAAAUCGAAUCAUGAGAUCGAAGGAGAUCAACAAGUUUGUGGCUCUUGAGACACAAUGCCAAAUAUCCUUCUAGAGAGCUGGCAGAUAUCAGAAACCUCUUCUCAGCUUUAGAGAUGCUUUUCACACAGACAGAAGAUUUCCUCUCCACACCAGAGGCAGCAGGAUAAGAUGUACCAUCAGACCGCACUGGCUUACCGUGGUGACAAGAAAGAAGAGGCCCUGACUGGGUGAGCUUCUUUAUUUAGCAAUUAACCAAAGACAAAUAAACCACUUCUAACCUUUUUCUUGCUUGAAUAUGUAGAAAUUAAAUGCAUUCAUUAUCCUGAGAGGAUUAUGAGCUUCUUUUUCCUGCAGUGACUCAAAUAUUUAUUUGACUGUAUGCAUAUGCUUUGCAGGAAUAAAAAUCAGCAUCUUCCAACUAAACCAUUUCCAUUGCAUCUAUAAUAACAUCUCUAAAAAGUAAUUCCUGUCAUUUCCAUUCCAUUUAUUUAUUACUCAACCAAAUAUACCCCCCUUGAAGGGUAGUAUUCUCUUGGACUAGGGCAUGGGAUUCACAGUUCCUCAAAGUGGUAAAUGUGAUAAAUGUUUUAACAUAUAUGGGAAUCCCACAAAGAACUCUCACUUUGGUAUUAAAUCAUGGAGGAACAUCAGGGUAUCCAUCUGCACACCCUAUGAAAUAAGAUGCAUUGGGUAAGUCAGCCAGGUGCUUUGUUUAUGUGGCAUCUGGACGCUUGGAAACUUCUGGAUGAGUAAACACUUUCUUUUGGGUCGAAAAGGUUUGGCUUUAACAUGUCGUCUAGUGGAAACCAAUCUAGAAUCACCAUGUUCGACUUUUCUAGUCUUUUAUGGGUCCAGUAAACUCAAGUGAAGGAAUCUUCAGAAGUGGGUUAACUUGUCCAUUCUCUUGGUAGUUGGAAUUCUUUCCUAAAUGUCACAUAAGAUAUUUGGAUACAAAUGUGUAGAGGAGAAAUGAAGGGACAAAAGAAUUAACAUUUGUUGAUCUCCUGCCAUAUGUAAGACACUGUGAUAGAUCACAUGUAUAAUAAUUUCAAUUUGUCAUUCCAACCUGGUGAGGGAGGUAUUAAUGGCUUCAUUUAACAGAUGAGGAAACUGAGGUUAAGAGAUUUCCUCUCUGACCACAAUUAUUAAAGUAUAAGUAAACUUUCCCAAUCUCUGAUGAAAGAACCUAGGAUUAUAGUUGAGUGAGUCACCAAUGCCCCAAAUUAUGACAUAGCCCAUGAAGAAAGAUACACUAAUACUCUUCAAGGACAGCAGGGUUGGGGUGAGGCAUUUGUCACUCUGCCUGAGGAUGCAACAUUCUCACUUGCCCUGGCCCCUCAGCUCAGGGCGAGCCACAGCACAGCAGAAGAGCAGAACCGCCCCUCCUGGAAGUUCUAGGUUCUGAAUGUGUCCAAUAGGCCCAGAGGUGAGGGUCUACAGGCAGAUCAGGGAGUCUGAGAGACAGAAGCCCCUUGCUUCAGCAGCAUUGGAUUUAAGGACAGAGCCUUAAAUCAGGAAGAAGUUCUCUCUCCAACCAUAUACAGGGGAAACUAAAGACUUUGCCUGGCAACCUAGAGACUUUAUCAUCGCAGGAGAUGGAUAACCAAGAUGAAACCAUGAGACAACAUUCUGGGCCAAGCAGUGAGCAAUGAGGAGACCCAGACCCCAGGUUCCUGGCUGUGUCUUUGGCUAAAAAGAAGAGGCAUUAAGACAGAUUCCCUGAGGAUACUUCAAGAACCCUGAAAUUGCCUUGCUCACAUACCACCACACUAGAGAUGUUUCAGAAAAGCAGCUUCCCUUUUGGUGCCUCCAAUCCAGAAUGACUCCAGCACAAGACUUCCUUUUCUAGGACCCACCGAGAGGUGAGGCAGAGAGGACAAGGCAAGGACAAAACUUCUUUGGACUAUUUUCUGCACAUCCCCAGCAGAGAUUGAUGAAUGCCUCUGAGUCAGCAAAAUCUCCAGUGGUGAAACAGAAAGCGUACACUCCACACAUUCAAGCAGCCAGGCCAGCCCACACGGAGAAGAGGAUGUUCACAUCCAGCCUGUUCAGUGGACCCCAUGGGGCAUUUCAAAGGCUAUUACAUUUCCAGGACCUUCUAUCACACCCCCUUUCUUCCAUCCCUGCUAAUAUUUGUGACUUUCCAGCUUUCUUCUCUGAAAUUAAAAUCAAACCUUUGCAAAGUGAAAAUCAGUUCAUCUGAGCUAGUGCUGGUUAAGAUUUACAAAAUAAAGAGGAAUUUUACACCCA